GAAGUAGCCGGGCCAUGCGUCUCCCGAGACCAGCCAUAGCCACUCCAGCCCGGGAUGAAGACAGGGUGAAGUAGCCGGGCCAUGCGUCUCCCGAGCCCAGCCAUAGCCACUCCAGCCCGGGAUGUAGACAGGGUGAAGUAGCUGGGCCAUGCGUCUCCCGAGCCCAGCCAUAGCCACUCCAGCCCGGGAUGAAGACAGGGUGAAGUAGCCAGGCCAUGCGUCUCCCGAGCCCAGCCAUAGCCACUCCAGCCCGGGAUGUAGACCGGGUGAAGUAGCCGGGCCAUGCGUCUCCCGAGCCCAGCCAUAGCCACUCCAGCCCGGGAUGAAGACAGGGUGAAGUAGCCGGGCCAUGCGUCUCCCGAGACCAGCCAUAGCCACUCCAGCCCGGGAUGAAGACAGGGUGAAGUAGCCGGGCCAUGCGUCUCCCGAGCCCAGCCAUAGCCACUCCAGCCCGGGAUGAAGACAGGGUGUCAGCUCUCUGCUCUCUAAACCUCUGUAGACCUCCCUCCACACCAACAUCGAUUACUCUGAUAAAGUGGAGCAGCCUUGUCUCGCUCCUGGCCUCUGAGUUGUCUUCACUCCCAUCUCCCGCAGGCCCCCUCACCUCUAGUGCCACCUCUGUAAUUUAAACUGUGGGGAGAGAGAGAGCGGGUAGAGAAACACACAAAGGGAGAGUUGAGGUCUGGGGUCCACUCACCAACCAGGAAUUCACUAAAUAGAACAAACAUCAAAUUGAGACUGCAUGCAGAAUUUUGAAAAACAGCCUUUGUAAAAGACGAAAUAAUGUAUACAGAGCAGAAUUAGGACGAUUCCCACAGAGCCCCAGGACAGCAACACAACUAGAUGAUGAGAACACAAAAAGACAAUUACUUUGGAAAUAUUAAUGCCUGAACUGGAACGUUAUUGGUGUCAUGACGUUGGCCUGGGGGAGGUUUAUGACAGUCAUAAAUACCUCUCCCACCUUUUUUCCCCUCUCUCUACCCUGCUGAUGUGACUUUUGUAAAUCCCAACGACGUUACGUAGAGAUUCUGGGAACAUCAGAAGGUGCGGGGAAAUGAACCAUGUUUUGGUAAUCCAACCAGUUGAACAUAUGCGUUGGUACUUAAUGAAUAUGAUGUCAGUUCAGUUGUCAUCUGAGACAUUCUCAUCAAUGAUAGGAUGACAUAAACUGUACAGUGAAAGUCUACACAUUAUAGUUAUCAGAUUCACAUGGAAAUGUUGUGCAAUUUAAAUGUUUGAAUAUGAAAUUAUUUGUGAGGGGAUGAAAUGUGAUUUUAGCUUCUAAAAUGUGAGAAAUGGGUUUUCAUGAGUGAAUUAGGCCCGACUCAGUGGCCCGCCCACAUGAAGAGACAUUGGUUAUAAACUAUGAAACACGCCCUCCUCUCCCUUCCUAUAUAAAGCCUUGACGACAGUAUAACUUCCUGUUCCGGGGACAUUAAGGCGACGGCCUUGACGUUAGAAGGACAGUUGACACCUACAGAGCAAAGCCAAUCUCAGCUACCUAACAAAAUUAGCAUUGAAUUCCCACGUGAAGAGGACGAUCUACACGUCGAAUAUGAUGAAUUUCGACAAUACCAGCCAGAAUAUAGCAUGAGCAUAUAAGCAUGGCAACAGGGUAUGAACUCUGAUUCACUCCAGCCGCCAAGCGUGGACUGGGAAAGGACAGACAGAGCAUACCGUCUACCACACAACAACGUUACUAAAACGGGUACAGUUUACCACCAGAGACGCUCUUCAAAGGAUGGAAGAACUCUUGGGCAACUCGGCCUUCCAUCUACCACCAGCCUAUUGAAGCGCAGCUCAGAGUAAAUAUUCAUUGCAUUUUCCUUUUCCAAAUGGGCGGUAAUUUAGAAUGCUUAAGAUUCUGUAAUUACGAUAGAGUAGCUGUCUGUCACGGUCUUCCUCCUCUUCAUCUGAAGAGGAGAGGCGAGAAGGAUCGGAGGACCAAAAUGCAGUGUGGUAUGUGUUCAUGAUGAAGUUUUUAAUUAAAGAAAACACUGAAUACAAACGAUAUAAAACAAUAAACGAAUAACGACCGUGAAGCUAUCAUAAGAACUGUGCUGACAGAAACAACUAACAUAGACAAUCACCCACAAACAAACAGUGAAACCCAGGCUACCUAAGUAUGAUUCUCAAUCAGAGACAACUAAUGACACCUGCCUCUGAUUGAGAACCAUACUAGGCCAAAACAUACAAAUCCCAAAAUCAUAGAAAAACAAACAGACUGCCCACCCCAACUCACGCCCUGACCAUACUAGAUAAUGACAAAACAACGGAAAUAAAGGUCAGAACGUGUCACCUACGGCACGAUAGAGACAUCACUUCUCCCUUUGUCUUCAGUCUUUCCACUCUUUCACUCAAACCCAACCCCCUUUUCUUUGGGUAACCAGCUGUCAUAUCUGUUUCCAUCCGCUAGGGAAAUUUUCCUUUAUGACAUCAUUUGUAAUCAAUGUAUGGUUCAUUCUGUGUAUAUGUAAUUCUGUGUGAUUAGUUAGGUAUUUAGUAAAUAAAUAAUUAAACCCAAUUUUGUUUUGCUGAUCAAACUUGUUAGCCAGGGUUGUCACGAAUCCCGCUUCCUGAGUCUGUGUUUGCCUGUGUUUCUGUCCUGGAGUGUGUUUCCGGUGUCCUGGAACGCAUCCUGUCUGGUUGCCGGGCGAAUUAGCUUGUUGGGAGAUCGAUGUUCACCCGCACCUGUAUCCCAUCAGCAAUCUGCACACCUGUCCUGAUCAUCACCUCUCCCCUUCAAAAGCUCUGACCUGACAUCCAUUCCCUGCUGGCUCGUUAGCCAUGAACAUUACUCACCCGGAUCAUUUACCCCAUUCCCGCCUGGUCGUCGGAGGAUUCCGCUACCCCAUUGGAUCCACCUAUUUACUCCCAUCAACUCACCACCGCUGCCCGCUACGCCACCUGGAUAUAUCUACCCAUUCACAUUCACUUGUAAAUAAAUACUCAC
ensembl:lncRNA